CUGUCUUCUAUAUGUACCCUGUAGAUCCGAAUUUGUGUAAAGGAAGUUGUGUCACAAAUUCGUAUCUAGGGGAAUAUGUAGUUGACACAAACACUAC
rnacentral:miRNA from 1 species